rnacentral:rRNA from 1 species
GUGGCGAACGGGUGAGUAACACGUGAGUAACCUGCCCUUGACUCUGGGAUAAGCGUUGGAAACGACGUCUAAUACCGGAUACGAGCUGGGACCGCAUGGUCACCAGCUGGAAAGAACUUCGGUCAAGGAUGGACUCGCGGCCUAUCAGCUAGUUGGUGAGGUAACGGCUCACCAAGGCGACGACGGGUAGCCGGCCUGAGAGGGUGACCGGCCACACUGGGACUGAGACACGGCCCAGACUCCUACGGGAGGCAGCAGUGGGGAAUAUUGCACAAUGGGCGCAAGCCUGAUGCAGCAACGCCGCGUGAGGGACGACGGCCUUCGGGUUGUAAACCUCUUUUAGCAGGGAAGAAGCGAAAGUGACGGUACCUGCAGAAAAAGCACCGGCUAACUACGUGCCAGCAGCCGCGGUAAUACGUAGGGUGCAAGCGUUGUCCGGAAUUAUUGGGCGUAAAGAGCUCGUAGGCGGUCUGUCGCGUCUGCUGUGAAAACCCGAGGCUCAACCUCGGGCCUGCAGUGGGUACGGGCAGACUAGAGUGCGGUAGGGGAGAUUGGAAUUCCUGGUGUAGCGGUGGAAUGCGCAGAUAUCAGGAGGAACACCGAUGGCGAAGGCAGAUCUCUGGGCCGUAACUGACGCUGAGGAGCGAAAGCGUGGGGAGCGAACAGGAUUAGAUACCCUGGUAGUCCAC